GUGCCCUGCGGAGUCCUGGAGUCCAUCUGGUCAAGGCAUAGGCGCAGACUGACCAGCAUCGUGCUCGCAACAGGAUCCGAGGAAAGAUAUUCCAAUACUGCACUUCCUCCGCGCCCCUGCUUCUAGUUCAAGAGGUCACAGGAAGGAACACACAAGCAGGCGAGUGACUGCUUACUGAGAUGGAGAGCCAAGCGCGAGGCUUCUGUGAAUGCAGGGUCACACCACCACAGAAACUGACUCAGAGAAAAAGAAAACGUAACCCUGAAGCGGCUGCCUUACCCCUUCCCCUUGUGGAUUACCAGUGGAAUUGACCCUAGACAACCAGCUGUCCAGGACACUGAGCACACCAGCCUACUAUGAGAAGGGAAACCAAGCAGGGCUGUGCAGUUUGGAAGAGCAUUUCCUUCGUUUGUUUUCCCUUUGUGUACCUUUUAGUGUUCUGGACCUUUUUGUUUUGCCACGCGACCUUACCAUUGAUGGUAUUGUCGGUGGUUUCUUUUGAUCUUAGUUGGCAACACUUUGCUUCUGUGUAACCUGUCCCUACCACUGUAGGUAGCGGCGGGGGGGGGUUGUGUUUGUUUUUGAAAUCUCUGCAGCCA